AGGGGAGCUGUUGGGCGGUAGUUUACUGCACUAGUGUAGCCAGCUGGGAAGGGAGAAUGGUAAGGGGCGUGUCUUACUGCAUCAGUACAUCUGGUAGGGGAAGGGAAGCUGUUAAAUGGUGUGUGUUGCUGCAUCAAUAAAAUAUGCCAGUUAAAGGAAGGUGUUGAGGGUGUGUCUUACUGCAUCAGUACAGCAUAUAAAGUAAGUGGAAGGUGUUGAGGGGUGUGUCCCACUGCAUCAGUACAGCAUACAAAGUAAGGGAGGGUGUUGAGGGGUGUGUCUUACUGCAUCAGUACAACAUAUAAAGUAAAUGGAAGGUGUUGAGGGGUGUGUCCCACUGCAUCAGUACAGCAUACUAGGUAAGGGAAGGAGUUGAGGGGUGUCCUACUGCAUCAGUACAGCAUACUAUGUAAGGGGAAGGUUUUGAGGGGUGUGUCUUACUGCAUCAGUACAGCAUACUAGGUAAGGGAGGGUGUUAGGGGUGUGUCUUACUGCAUCAGUACAGCAUACUAAGUAAGGGGAAGGUGUUGAGGGGUGUGUGUUACUGCAUCAGUACAACAUACUAGGUAAGGGAAGGAGUUGAGGGGUGUGUCCUACUGCAUCAGUAUAGCAUACAAAGUAAGGGGAAGGUGUUGAGGGGUGUGUCUUACUGCAUCAGUACACCAUGUUAGGUAAGGGGAAGGUGUUAAGGGAUGUGUCUUACUGCAUCAGUACAGCAUACAAAGUAAGGGGAAGGUGUUAAGAGGGGGGGGGGUGUGUUUUACUGCAUCAGUACAGCAUGCUAAGUAAGUGAGGGUGUUGAGGGGUGUGUCUUACUGCAUCAGUACAGCAUGCUAAGUAAGUGAGGGUGUUGAGGGGUGUGUCUAACUGCAUCAGUACGGCAUACUAAGUAAGGGAAGGUGUUGUGGGGCGUGUCUUACUACAUCAGUACAGCAUACUAAGUAAGGAAAGGUGUUGAGGGGUGUGUCUUACUGCAUCAGUACAGCAUACUAAGUAAGGGAAGGUGGAGAGGUGCAUGGUUUAUUUCAUCUGUACAGCAUACUAAGUAAGGGAAGGUGUUGAGGGGUGUGUCAUACUGCAUCAGUACAGCAUACUAAUUAAGGGAAGGUGUUGAGGGGUGUGUCUUACUGCAUCAGUACAGUAUACUAAGUAAGGGAGGAUGUUGAGGGGUGUGUCUUACUGCAUCAGUACAUCAUACUAAGUAAGGGAGGAUGUUGAGGGGUGUGUCUUACUGCAUCAGUACAGCAUACUAAGUAAGGGGAAGGUGUUGAGGGGUGUGUCCUACUGCAUCAGUACAGUAUACUAAGUAAGGGGAGGAUUUGAGGGGUGUGUCUUACUGCAUCAGUACAGUAUGUUAGGUAAGGGGAAGGUGUUGAGGGGUGUGUCUUACUGCAUCAGUACAGUAUACUUAGUAAGGGAAGGAGUUGAGGGGUGUGUCUUACUGCAUCAGUACAUCAUACUAAGUAAGGGAGGAUGUUGAGGGGUGUGUCUUAUUGCAUCAGUACAUCAUUCUAAGUAAGGGAGGAUGUUGAGGGGUGUGUCUUACUGCAUCAGUACAGCAUACUUAGUAACGGAAGGUGUUGAGGGAAGUGUCUUACUGCAUCAGUUCAGCAUCGUAGGUAAGGGGAAUGUGUAGAGGGGUGUGUCUUACUGCAUCAGUACAGCAUACUUAGUAAGGGAAGGCGUAGAGGGGUGUGUCUUACUGCAUCAGUACAUCAUUCUAAGUAAGGGAGGAUGUUGAGGGGUGUGUCUUACUGCAUCAGUACAGCAUACUUAGUAACAGAAGGUGUUGAGGGAAAGGGGUGUGUCUUACUGCAUCAGUACAGCAUACUAAGUAAGGGAAGGCAUAGAGGGGUGUGUCUUACUGCAUCAGUACAGCAUACUAAGUAAGGGAGGGUGUUGAGGGGUGUUUCUUACUGCAUCAGUACAGCAUACUAAGUAAGGGAAGGCAUAGAGGGGUGUGUCUUACUGCAUCAGUACAGCAUACUAAGUAAGGGAGGGCAUAGAGGGGUGUGUCUUACUGCAUCAGUACAGCAUACUAAGUAAGGUAAGGUUUUGAGGGGCUUGUCUAACUACAUCAGUUCAGCAUGGUAGGUAAGGGGAAGGUGUUGAGGGGUGUGUCUUACUGCAUCAGUAUAGCAUGGUGGGUAAAGAAAGAGGUGUGGCUUACUACCUCAAUGCAGCAUGCCAGGUAAGGGAAAAUAUUGAUGAACAAUGCUUACUACAGCAUGGAGGGAAGGGGAAGAUGUUUAGGGAUAUUUCCAUCCUUUAUUGCAGUUGAAAAUGCCUUGGUACAAGAAUGAUCUGUCAAGAAAAUAGUUUUGAGGGACCUUGAAUCAAUGUGGAGGGAAAGAGUUCAGUUAAUGUGGAUAUCGACAGAAUUAAGGUGCACUUAAGUAGGUGCAGAUUAGGGGAUGUUGGGAAGCAGCUUAGAAGGCACAUAAGGUUUCAGCAGGUUCAGAGUGGGCAUUUGAAUUAUCAAUGAACGUGCUUAGAUUCACAUGAAUAUUGACGGGAGCUCAAAAGGCAUAUGGAAUGUCCCUAUUCAGUGGGCAUUGAUUGCAGGAUGCUGAGUACAUUGAAAUUAACAGCAUGUGUUUAUGUUUUACCUGAAGCUCUUAUAUUGGUGUGUAGUAAUAUCAUUAUACUUAAAUGUUUACCACGAUCUCUGUGACUGUUAUUAAUGUUUUGUCGCUCUGCAUGAUAUAGUUUAGUUUUAACUACCAUGAAAUGUUUCUUCCUUGGCAAUCAAUUUGUGGUGGACAUUUCGUCAGUAAUUUUAUAACUUUGAACAAAUUAUUAUUUUCAUGUAUGUUAGUGAUUUCCUAACCUAGAGAUAUUAUAUUUUACAGAUUUAUGUUUUGUGUAUUUUCAUAUAUUAGAUUAUUCGCUGCCUUAUACAUACAUAGUCAUUGUAUUUUCUGCAGAGAAAGCAACUUUUUCUAAUGUCUACAUUUUCAUACAUGUUGUCCGAAAUGAACUGCUCAAUAUGAACCGUACAACAUCCCUCUGAUUCUUGGGAUGUCAGUGUUGCCUGUCUGUAGAUACUGAGUAACUGAAGACACUGGUCUGGUGGCAGGAUGAGAUCAGGAUAACCCAUAUCAGCAGCAGAAUACAACAUGCAGUCCACGUAUCGCUUGGGAGGGACUUGGAGCAGUUUCGUAUUUAUCGAUUCAAUCAGUAGAAAUGAGAAUGAAUCAACUCUGCAUGUUGUAAGACAGACAGAAGUUUAUUUUUUCAAAUUUCAGCAGGACUCUUAUCUUGUUUGUUUUGUGAACAGAUUAUGUAACGUAAAUAGUUGUAUUUGACAUGCAGAGAUAGCACUCACUAACACUAGCUGACAGAGGGUAUUGGAGGGGAGGUGAAAUUGGGUUUAACGUCGUGCUUGAGAAUAUUUCGCUCAUAUGGCAACGUGCAUGCGUGUGUAUG